rnacentral:rRNA from 2 species
ACACAAUACCGAAGCUACGGGCAUGUAAAUGCGUUAGAGGAGCGUUCUAAGGGCAUUGAAGCUAGACUGUAAAGACUAGUGGAGCGCUUAGAAGUGAGAAUGCCGGUAUGAGUAACGAUUCAAAGUGAGAAUCUUUGACGCCUAUUGGGGAAGGUUUCCUGGGCAAGGUUCGUCCACCCAGGGUUAGUCGGGUCCUAAGACGAGGCCGAAAGGCGUAGCCGAUGGACAACAGGUUAAUAUUCCUGUACUUUCUUGAAUGUGAUGGAGUGACGGGGGAGGAUAGUUUUACCACUUAUUGGAUUGUGGGGUAAGUAGAGACUGGGUGAUGUUGGCAAAUCCGCAUCACAUUAACCGGAACAUAC